rnacentral:guide_RNA from 1 species
AAAACUUGGGUGUCGAUAAAUAGAUGGAUAAAUGAUAAU